rnacentral:rRNA from 1 species
AUGGAUCGCGCCGCUCGCCGCCGCGCCCGCGCCGGCGGAGGUGCCCCGGCGGCGCCCUCCACACGCGCGCGCCGCCGCGACGACGCCGGGACGAUCGUCAUCGACCUCGACGGGGAGGCCCCUGCGGCCGCUGCUGCCGCGAGCAGGCGCUCUUCUUCCUCCUCCUCCUCGGCGGCGGCGAUGCCUGUGCCGCUGGUGGGGGCGGUGGCGACGCGGACGCGAUCGAGGGGGCUGGCGAUCCAUCCGCCGGCGCCGGAGGAGGCGCCGAGGCCCAAGAGGAGGAGGAAGGGGGCGACGAGCGCGGAUGCCGACGGCGGCGGUGGGAGCAAGGGCGCAGGCUCCUCCAAGUCGGAAACGAGACCGAAUCGCCGAGGGCGCCCCCCGCGGGCCUCCGUGAAGAGCAAGGAGGCAGAGGCGGAGGCGGAUGCGCCCGCCUGUGGAGACUGGGUGGAGGUGUCCCGGCGCUAUGGCUGUGACGACAGCGCGCGGCGAGGUGAUGAUGCUUCUGGCGAUGAUAAUGGCGAAUCUCGCGCCGACGAGGCAUGCGGCAUUGGCCAGGGGAGGGAUGAGCAUCACAGUGCCGCUAGUGGGAAUCGAAUCAAUGAGCAUCAGGGGAGUGGGGCGGUCAAUGGUUCGAAUUCGUGUCAUGCGAUGAAUGAGGUGGUAUCAGGCGAUGCAGCGGGGCUGAAAGGUCGUGGGGGCGAGGGGGGUGGGCUAGGUGGUGGUUUUCAUGUUGAUGAGGAGCACAUGAAUGAAGAGGAUACAGUAGGCUGUGGAGACAGGGAGCUGCCGACUGCGGAUGCGAUGAUGGGUGACGAGGCCGCAGCGUCUGAAGAUGACUUUGGAGAUUACUAUGACGACGAGAUGAUGGAGGAAAGACUGGUUGCAGAUCUGAUCCGUGCUUACAGUAAUGGUGGUAAUUUGGAGGCAAGUAAUGGUGCUUACGGCGAUGGUGGCGAUCUGGAGGAAGCCGAGGAUGAGAUGGGAUUCACUGAUGAUGGUGAUGAUGACGAUUCUAUGCAUGAUGCAGAUGAAUGUGGCAUGUCUGAACCAAUCAACGACGAUGCUAAGGCGCCAAACAACGCUGAUGCUAAGGCAGGAACGCAGGAUCCGGUGGAUCACAAGGUUGUUGCUGGUGAGGUUAGGUGCCAUGAGGAGGAGGAAGAAGAUGUUAUCAAGGAUGAGGUGGAGACUAAGCGAGAAGGAGCUACGGGCUUUAAUCAAGGGAGAUCGCAUAUAGAAAUUCUUGACUCUGACGAGGAAGUAAAAGUGCUCAAUGAUGCCAGUAAGGCCUUGAAGAGGAAACCGUUGCCGCGAAAAAAGGAACCUGUCGUGCCAUGUGUUGCAUGGAGGACUCGUUCAUUAUGGGGGCUUAAGCAAGAUAGGUUGUCGUACAAUGCGUAUUUUGAGGAGUUGUCUGAUGAGCCAGAAGAGGAGGAUGAUUCAGAAGUGGAACUGGAUGACGAGGAUGAUGACAGUGCCGAUGAUGACAAUAGUGCCAGUCAUGAUUCAGAAGUGGAACUGGAAGAAGAGGAUGCAAAAAAGAAAGCAAAAGAAGAAGAAGAGGCCGAAAUGAGAAAACACAAGAAAGAAAUUGCCUCAUCUUCGGCUAAAAUAAGGGCCGGGCCUUUGCCUCUUUAUACAAAUACAGGGAAGAGAAUACGAAAAGCAACCCCAAACAGCUGCAACAACUCAAAGCGACGGAGGAGGAUACAAACCCACCACAGAAUUGACUCAUCUGAUGAUGAGAUAAUUGAUCAUACUGUAGCAGAUGGUUUCAAGUGGGAGGUUCACAAAAAACCAGGGAUUCAACCACUGAACUUUGAUAAAGAUGGCAGUGAGGGUCCAGUGGGCAAUGACAUUACACAGCAUCAGAAGCAGACACAUUUUACUUGGGAUCUUGAGAGGAGGAAAAGGCUGAAGCUUGAAACGACGACUAAGGAACGUCAAUUGUUUGAGCGGCAUUUGGACUCGGAUUCUAGCCCAUCCAGUUCGGAUCAGAAUAAAAGGCAUGGCGAUGAUAGCCAAACUGGGAAGGAAAAGAAGCAUUUGUCAUCAAAAUCUGGAAAAUCUGCCAAGAAAUCCAGCCGUUCAGGUUCAAAAACACUAAAGCGACAGUCACUUCUGAAGCUUCUGAUGGAUAAGAUCAGUGGCGAUAAAGAUGGAGGAUUCUCUCCUUUUGACCAGCAUCCUCAGUUCGACUAUAAUUUCAAGGAUCCUCAUCCAUUGGUAUUCUCAUUUGGCACUGAAAAUUCCACACCAGCUGACAUACCAGAGCAAAAUGCUAAACAAAAUAUGCUGUGGGGUGACUUUGACUUUGCUUUAGAGUCAGAGAAUAUUGGAACCUACUAUGAUGACGAGCACCAAGGAGAGAGCAAUGUGCUAGAUCUUGGACUUCCUUCUAAAACACCUUGUUCUCGAGGGAAGCAUGAAUUUAUUAUUGAUGACCAAAUAGGAAUCAGAUGCAAAUACUGCUCCUUGGUAAAUCUGGAAAUCAGAUUUGUUUUACCAUCAAUGGUCUCAAAUUACGCAGAAAAAACUCCUUGGCGAAAUGGAUCUUAUUUGAAGGAAGCGUUGAUGUAUCAUGAUCUUUGUGAACAAGCUGGAAGUGUUGACGGGCAAUCUCAAGAUUUCCAUCUGUAUGGAACAGUAUGGGAUCUCAUCCCUGGUGUCAUUACUAGUAUGUAUCAGCAUCAACGCGAAGCAUUUGAAUUUAUGUGGACAAAUCUAGUUGGUGAUAUUAGGCUUGAUGAGCUGAAGCAUGGAGCUAAACCUGAUGUUGUUGGAGGAUGUGUGAUCUGUCAUGCCCCAGGGACAGGAAAGACACGUUUAGCGAUUGUUUUUAUCCAGACAUAUAUGAAGGUAUUUCCAGACUGUCGGCCAGUUAUUAUUGCACCUCGCGGGAUGCUGUUUGCUUGGGAAGAGGAGUUCAAAAAAUGGGACGUCAAUGUUCCUUUCCAUAUAAUGAACACCACAGAUUUUUCAGGGAAAGAAGACAGAGACAUAUGUAGGCUAAUAAAGAAAGAGCAUCGGACAGAGAAGUUGACGAGGCUUGUAAAACUGCUUUCAUGGAACAAGGGUCAUGGUAUUCUUGGAAUAAGUUAUGGUCUAUAUAUGAAACUAACAUCGGAAAAAAAAUCUGGCUGCACUGAAGGGAACAAAGUAAGAACCAUUCUUCUCGAGAAUCCUGGUUUGCUUGUGCUAGAUGAAGGACACACACCUAGGAACGAGCGCAGUAUUAUGUGGAAGACAUUGGGAAAAGUUAAAACUGAGAAGCGCAUAAUUCUAUCAGGAACUCCUUUCCAAAACAAUUUUCUUGAGCUUUAUAAUAUACUCUGUUUGGUAAGGCCUAGGUUUGGUGAAAUGUUUUUGACUGAAAAAAAAGUGGGCAGAAGGCACUAUGUCUCAAAGAAGCGACAGGAUAAGUUUUCUGACAAAUACGAAAAAGGAGUUUGGGCUUCAUUAACUAGUAAUGUAACUGAUGAUAAUGCAGAGAAAGUUCGAUCAAUACUGAAGCCAUUUGUUCAUAUCCAUAAUGGCACCAUUCUUCGAACUCUUCCAGGGCUUAGAGAGAGUGUGAUUGUUCUGAAACCUCCUCCUCUUCAGAAGAGUAUCAUUAGAAAGGUGGAGAAUAUUGGGUCUGGUAAUAAUUUUGAACAUGAAUAUGUUAUUUCCUUAGCUUCGACACAUCCUUCUCUUGUAACUGCCAUCAACAUGUCCGAAGAGGAAGCUUCACUUAUUGAUAAGCCUAUGCUUGAGAGAUUAAGGUCAAAUCCCUAUGAAGGGGUUAAAACAAGAUUUGUAAUUGAAGUCGUUCGUUUGUGUGAAGCACUGAAAGAAAAGGUAUUGAUCUUUAGUCAAUUUAUUCAGCCAUUAGAAUUGAUAAAAGAACACCUUAGCAAGCUUUUCAAAUGGAGAGUAGGGAAAGAGAUUCUCCAAAUGGAUGGGAAGAUCCAACCACGAUAUCGUCAGACUUCAAUUGAAGUUUUCAAUAAUCCAGAUAGUGAUGCGAAGGUGUUACUUGCAUCUACAAGAGCUUGCUGUGAAGGGAUUAGCCUAACCGGAGCUUCAAGAGUUGUUCUUCUAGAUGUGGUUUGGAAUCCUGCUGUGGGAAGGCAAGCUAUCAGUAGGGCAUUUAGGAUAGGACAGAAGAAAUUUGUAUAUACAUACAAUUUAAUAACUUAUGGAACAGGUGAAGGUGACAAGUACGAUAGGCAAGCAGAAAAGGACCAUUUGUCCAAGUUGGUCUUCUCUCAAGAGGAUGAGUUCAAUAAUGUCAGGAACAUGCUAUCAAAAGCUGAAAUGGAUCACUGUUCUAAGUUGAUAUCUCAGGAUAAGGUUCUAGAGGAGAUGGCCUCCCAUGACCAGCUAAAGGGCAUGUUCUUAAAGAUACACUAUCCACCAACUGAGUCAAACAUGGUUUUCACUUACAACCAGAUUGCCCCUGAGUUGAGUUAA